ensembl:lncRNA
CUGGGGUUGUGUGUGUGUGUGGGUUUUGGUGUGUGUGUGUGUGUGUGUGUGUGUGUGUGUGUGUGUGUGUGUGUGUGUGUGUGUGUGUGUGUGUGUGUGUGUGUGUGUGUGUGUGUGUGUGUGUGUGUGUGCAGCAGCAGCAUUACUCUCCCUGCUAGUAGCAGUUCAUGCGAGGUCAGGCAGCUUGCUGCGCCCAGGGAAAUGAGACCGUCUUGGCUCAGACACAGCAUGUGUCCCAAAUGGCCACUUAUUCCCUAUUUAGUGCAUAGGGCCCAGGGUUCCAUUUGGAGUGCAACCUCUAGUCUUCUGAGAGCAGCUCAUAUCCACAGUGUUGCUGAGCAUGUGUCUGACAGGACACCCGGGUUCAGAUAGUAUUCAACAACUUUCAAAAUACGUUGAGCGUUUGCUUUAGCCUUCCUGGAGCGCCAGUUAUCACCUUUGAGACUAUUCUGUUGUUUCCUUUGUUCCAGGCAAACUCAAUCAAGCCCAGAUAAAAUAUUUGAAAUGACUUUGAAGAAUACCUGAACCCAGGUCUGUCUUGGAAGCCACAUAUUCUUAUUAGAGCAAGUUUUAAAUAUAACAUUUCAGGAUGCAGAAAAAAAAACACAUAAGUGAGUACAUACAUACAUUCGCACACAUGGUUUUGAAAGAAAAAUGUAUCUGGUAUAACUUUAAUAAACCGUGCUGGCUGUACUACAUGAGAGUGAUGAUGUCUGGUGUUGUUCUAGUGGGGCUGAUGGGUUGUCAGCUCUACUCAUUUUGAUCAAGUUACACUGACAUGUUGGACCUGAGUAAACAAUGUGUCGGCCAAAUACUUCUUGAGACUCGACCAACAAGACAGUAUAUCAGUGUGAAUUUAAACUCAGCAACCAGAACUAAAUCUUGAACUUGGUAUCAAAAUGGCCCCCUAUUCCCUAUAUAGUACACAACAUCUGGCCAGAGUUCCAUGAGCCCUAUAUAGUUAAUACCUAACCCUGACCUCAUCUCCUAGGUCAAUAACUACUACUGACCCUGACCCCAUCUCCUAGUUCAACAACUACGACUAACCCUGACCCCAUCUCCUAGGUCAAUAACUACUACUAACCCUGACCCUGAUCCCAUCUCCUAGGUCAAUAACUACUACUGACCCUGACCCCAUCUCCUAGGUCAAUAACUAUUCUGACCAAGACCGCAUCUCCUAGGUCAAUAACUACUACUAACCCUGACCCUGAUCCCAUCUCCUAGGUCAAUAACUACUACUGACCCUCACCCUAACCCCAUCUCCUAGGUCAAUAACUACUACUGACCCUGACCCCAUCUCCUAGGUCAUUAACUACUACUGACCCUGACCCCAUCUCCUAGGUCAAUAACUACUACUGACCAUGACCCCAUCUCCUAGGUCAUUAACUACUACUGACCCUGACCCCAUCUCCUAGGUCAAUAACUACUACUGACCCUGACCCCAUCUCCUAGGUCAAUAACUACUACUGACCCAGACCUAAUCUCCUAGGUCAAUAACUACUACUGACCCUGACCCCAUCUCCUAGGUCAAUAACUACGACUAACCCUGACCCCAUCUCCUGGGUCAAUAACUAGUACUGACCCUGACCUCACCUCCUGGGUCAAUAACUACUACUGACCCUGACCUCAUCUCCCAGGUCAACAACUACUACUGACCCUGACCUCAUCUCCUAGGUCAAUAACUACUACUGACCCUGACCCUGACCCCAUCUCCUAGGUCAAUAACUACUACUAACCCUGACCCCAUCUCAUAGUUCAAUAACUACUACUGACCCUGACCCUGACCCCAUCUCCUAGGUCAAUAACUAGUGCUGACCCUGACCUCAUCUCCUAGGGCAAUAACUACUACUGACCCUGACCCUGACCCCAUCUCCUAGGUCAAUAACUACUACUGACCCUGACCCCAUUUCCUAGGUCAAUAACUACUACUGACCCUGACCCCAUCUCCUAGGUCAAUAACUACUACUGACCCUGACCCCAUCUCCUAGGUCAAUAACUACUACUGACCCUGACCCCAUCUCCUAGGUCAAUAACUACUACUGACCCUGACCCCAUCUCCUUGGUCAAUAACUACUACUGACCCUGACCUCAUCUCCUAGGUCAAUAACUACUACUGACCCUGACCCCUUCUCCUAGGUCAAUAACUACUACUGACCCUGACCCCACCUCCUAGGUCAAUAACUACUACUGACCCUGACCUCAUCUCCUAGGUCGAUAACUACUACUGACCCUGACCCUGACCCCAUCUCCUAGGUCAAUAACUACUACUUCAAUAGGAUCUGAGAGGUGAAACCAGACACAGGGACAGUGGGUGUACCAGACGAGAAGGAACAGGAUCAGCCAGGAAGGGGUGUCAUUGUGCUUCGACUGCCCAUUAAUUAAAACAAAGUAUAUGUUUCCCAGACCUUUUUUUGGAUUCCAUAUCUUAACACCCAUGCAGUGUAAGGCUAAUUUCACCUUGGUACCCAGCCUAGCCAAAUUAUAGCCUUCGCACUGUUACAACAGCUAUGCUUACCGGGCUGGAAAAAAAGAAUCAUUAGGGACUUUCCAGCUAGGAUAGUGUGUGUGUGUGUGUUAGGGUUUUACUGUAGACCUGCAGAGCAGCUG